rnacentral:rRNA from 1 species
UACAGAGGUCUCAAGCGUUGUUCGGAUUCAUUGGGCGUAAAGGGUGCGCAGGCGGCGCGGUAAGUCGGGUGUGAAAUCUCGGAGCUUAACUCCGAAACUGCAUUCGAUACUGCCGUGCUUGAGGACUGGAGAGGAGACUGGAAUUUACGGUGUAGCGGUGAAAUGCGUAGAUAUCGUAAGGAAGACCAGUGGCGAAGGCGGGUCUCUGGGCCGAUACUGACGCUGAGGAGCGAAAGCCGUGGGGGAGCGAACAGG